GUGAAUCAUCGAAUUUUUGAACGCACAUUGCACUCUCUGGUAUUCCGGAGAGUAUGCCUGUUUGAGGGUCAGUUUAAAUAACAAUCGGUGUGGUUGCUGCCUUUCGUGGUGCCGCCCCGGAUCUCGGUCGUCCUGCCUUCGGUUACGUUACCUUAAACUUUGCAUGAUUUUUUUCGAACGUAUUUAACUGAUUUUACGUACGUUUGCGAUAUCCAUUACUAGGUUUGGUCUUCCUCCUGAUUCGCGUCUC
rnacentral:misc_RNA from 1 species